rnacentral:lncRNA from 1 species
GAUUUUUAGACAAAAUCACUCGCUUUAGAACGAACUUUCCCUAUUAAGAGAGUUUCUAAUUUAUUCAUACUGAAGACUCUGAUCCCUCUGGAUCAGCCCUUGCUUGUUAGUUCAAUUGAGUUGCAAAUUAUUGCUCGUUUGGUUUGUAGAUUCCAACGAAAUUAUUCAAUGUUUCUUCUAUGAGAAACCGGAAGUUUAUUGUGAGGAAAAUCCACUGGAAUUGAAGGAGACUAAGCGAAUGGAGGCAGAGCAGCAGGAAUCGCUGAAUUCUUUGAAGAAUGGCCCCAGUUCUACAUGUUCCGCUGGAACCAAUAACCCGAAAAGUAAACGCCAGCGUUGUAGGCAGCAGCAAGUGAGAGAGCAGACUCGCUAUUUUUUGAGGAAGCGCGGUAAUAAUUUACCAAAAAACACACUGAAGUAGAUGGGAUAGAUACACAGGGUAUGUGGCUGAUUAGCAUUAGUUUAAUGUGAUUUUGUUCUUAAGUGUUUAUCUCAAUUUAGUUUGUAAGUUUCACAAUUUAUUACUCACAGAGUUGGGUUGAUCAUUUUGAAAACAAAUAUCGAUGCAGUUAGAUGCGUUAUUAGUUUUACAAGUUGCGAAGGCCCUAAAUUGGGCAUUCAUAUUUUUAUUUGUUUUGUGAUAUUAUCAGAGUUUUAAUGUUUAUAU